rnacentral:rRNA from 1 species
AGAGUUUGAUCCUGGCUCAGGACGAACGCUGGCGGCGUGCUUAACACAUGCAAGUCGAACGGUUCAACACUUGACACUGAAUGUUUUUUAAGGGGAUCUGAAGACAAAGGAAAGAAAGAACAUUGAGAGUUGAGUGUUGGAUAGUGGCGGACGGGUGAGUAACGCGUGGGUAACCUACCCAUAAGAGGGGGAUAACAGCUGGAAACGGCUGCUAAUACCGCAUAAGCUUCCUAUGUAUAAGUGGGAAGUAAAGAUGGCCUCUGAAUAUGCUAUCGCUUAUGGAUGGGCCCGCGUCUGAUUAGCUAGUUGGUGGGGUAAAGGCCUACCAAGGCGACGAUCAGUAGCCGGCCUGAGAAGGGUGGACGGCCACACUGGGACUGAGACACGGCCCAGACUCCUACGGGAGGCAGCAGUGGGGAAUAUUGCGCAAUGGGGGAAACCCUGACGCAGCGACGCCGCGUGAGCGAAGAAGGCCUUCGGGUCGUAAAGCUCUGUUUUAAGGGACGAAGUCUGCUAAGAAUAAUACGCUUUGGCAGGUGAAGGUACCUUACAAGAAAGCCCCGGGCUAACUACGUGCCAGCAGCCGCGGUAAGACGUAGGGGGCCGAGCGUUGGCCAGGAAUUAA